rnacentral:lncRNA from 1 species
GGGAUCUAGUGAGAAAAUCCGAAAUGGUUCGGAUGUGUGAUUGGUAAUUAAAAACCAUGUUUUUGUUACAUAUGAAAACGUUGGGUUAUAUAGACCGAACGGGUCAAAUGGUGGGAAUAACAUCAUUUGACAAAAUCAACUAAUGUGGUGGUCAAGUCAUGUGUUACAGGAGCGAAUAGUAAUUUGGAUAAUUGCGUCGCCAUAGAAUAUCGGUCAUAAAAGCAAGGUGUUGAAAAGGGUCACUAGGGUGACUCGAGCCAGCAAAUGCCCUUCGUCGUGAAUGUCGAGGGUCCCGGAUGAAGAUCGAGCAUCG